UACGGAGGGGGCGAGCGUUAUUCGGAAUUAUUGGGCGUAAAGGGCGCGUAGGCGGCCUGGUAAGUCAAAGGUGAAAUCCCUCGGCUCAACUGAGGAACUGCCUUUGAAACUGCCUGGCUUGAGGCCGGGAGGGGGUGGCGGAAUUCCCAGUGUAGCGGUGAAAUGCGUAGAUAUUGGGAGGAACACCAGUGGCGAAGGCGGCCACCUGGACCGGUUCUGACGCUGAUGCGCGAAAGCGUGGGUAGCAAACAGG
rnacentral:rRNA from 1 species